rnacentral:lncRNA from 1 species
UUUUAAAUUUCAUUUUCUGAAAGUUCACUGCUGGUAUGUAGAUUCCCUUUUUUGUAUUGACCUUAUAUUCUAUGACCUUGCUCCGUUCACUUACCUUGUUGUUGUGGUCCCCUGGUUCUCUCGCUUUCCAGGAGCCAGGCCCAGUUGGUUUCGCCUUCUGGUCCAUAGGCACCUGAGGGAGGCAGACACCCUGGUCUCAGUGUGCUGAUUGCCCAGGGCAUCCCAGCUCUUCAAGGCUGUGGUGAUGGAGGGAUUGCAAUGGUGGAACAAGAGGACAAGUCUAAUAAUGUCAUUUUUAUUUGGGGGAAUACAGAAACUCCAGUGUUAGAACUGGCAUUUUAUAUUAUUUGAAGUGUACAGAAUUCAUAAAAUCAGAAAAAAAAAUGUAAAUAUUACAAAACAUCUCCCUUGUCCCUCCAGACUUUACUGUUUCCUUUGCCUUCAGUCUCUCCAUCCAGGGAACCCGUGGGAGCUGCUACUGGCACUGCCCAGAGGGUUUCUCUACCCAGCUCUGUGUGGCUUCCCCCAGUGCAGCGCAGCGCUCAGGGGCACUACCUCUGGGCAGCAACUCCCAUCGGGCCAGGGGCCAAACUGAAGUCAUUUCCAUUUCUCUCUUGCCAAUCUGGGACAUCUUCUGGCUCUCAGCAUGUUCUGAUGCCUCCCCUCGCCCAGAGGAAUCCUCGGCUGGGCGUCUGUGGGCUUUUUUCUUUUCUCUUCUCUGUGGGGGCCGUGGUAGAUGUGAGGGGGUUGGGAAGUUGUCAGAGCUGAGGGAUAAAGAGGAACUAGAAAAAUAUCAGGCAUGAUUGAGGGACCGGUGAAGGGAUUGGAGACAGAGCCAAGAAGGGUCAACAGAGUGGUGGCCCGAUGUCGGAAUUAAUAGUAUUACAUCCACAGAAAUGCUGGUAUUGGGGUAGAUAAAAAUAUCACACAAAAAAAGCAAAUAGCAAAGUAUACCUGAAUACUGAAAAGCAGCACUGCCAGCUCUAGAGCCAUCUGAGGACUCUUCACAAGGACGCUGCACCCCAUGCAGUCAGGCCUCCAAGUGACUUUUACGAUGAAUGAACUGGAAAGGACUAGAUUUCCCUGGCUGGGGAUUUGGGCCGAGGGGAGUAUCUGGACUUAGAGGAACCACAAAGAGUCAGUAUCAUUAGACGCACCCCCACCCCAGGCUCUGACGGAGUGAGAACCAUCUGGGCCCAAUGGCAGAGGCCCACCAGAGCUUCACCAACACUUGCAAACCACCCACUGACAGCUGACUGACCACCAUGAGACACGUGCACUGAGAGCCUCUCCUCUGUCAGCAGAGGGCACUAGUUAUUUGCCUUUCUC